UUAGACCUAUGAGAAUUUAAUUGGACUUGUUGAAGUUGAGUUGAAUUAAAUUUGAGAUUUGACAAUAUUUUGUUUAUUUUAUUUUGCAUUUAUUUUUAAUUCAAAAAAUACCAAAAAAAUAUGUUUGACUUGUGGACUUGUGAUUUUUAUUUGUCUUCUGUUUAGCAUUGGUUGAUGAUGAUUUGAUUCACUUUUGACCAAUUGUGUCUGAUACUUUAUUUCUCUUUCCAUCCAUUUCAUCUUCAUCCCAU
rnacentral:lncRNA from 1 species